rfam:Staphylococcus sp. HMSC078E07 Staphylococcus_spHMPREF2905-1.0_Cont124.1, whole genome shotgun sequence.
AAUCUUUAUACAUAAGACAUCUCGUUGAUUUAGUUUAGUGAUGUUUAUUAAAUUGUACGAAUAUGCCUUAUUUUCUUAAGUAUUUCAAUGUAAAAUUACAUAUAAAUACAAAACAUUUUGGCAAGACUCUUGAGAGAAUAGGACAAGCUGAAGACUGCAGGCUGAAGCUAUUCCCUAAAAAAGCGAGCCAACAAUACGCAGUAUUGUAAAUAAAGAAGCCAGUAA